rnacentral:rRNA from 1 species
GUGGGGAAUUUUGGACAAUGGGGGAAACCCUGAUCCAGCCAUCCCGCGUGUAUGAUGAAGGCCUUCGGGUUGUAAAGUACUUUUGGCAGAGAAGAAAAGGCAUCCCCUAAUACGGGAUGCUGCUGACGGUAUCUGCAGAAUAAGCACCGGCUAACUACGUGCCAGCAGCCGCGGUAAUACGUAGGGUGCAAGCGUUAAUCGGAAUUACUGGGCGUAAAGCGUGUGUAGGCGGUUCGGAAAGAAAGAUGUGAAAUCCCAGGGCUCAACCUUGGAACUGCAUUUUUAACUGCCGAGCUAGAGUAUGUCAGAGGGGGGUAGAAUUCCACGUGUAGCAGUGAAAUGCGUAGAUAUGUGGAGGAAUACCGAUGGCGAAGGCAGCCCCCUGGGAUAAUACUGACGCUCAGACACGAAAGCGUGGGGAGCAAACAGGAUUAGAAACCCUAGUAGUCCC